GGAGGCGUACGCGUCCUGGUGGGCGCCGCGGUCUUCAAAACCGUUGUGGCCCGGGAUCCGGGUCAGGCAGGUUCGAUUCCCGUCCGCCUCCGCCA
rnacentral:tRNA from 1 species